rnacentral:misc_RNA from 1 species
AAAGUCGUAACAAGGUUUCCGUAGGUGAACCUGCGGAAGGAUCAUUAUUGAUUUUAAAGGGAUGUGCUGGCUUUCUUCGAGCAUGUGCACUCCUAACAAAACCAAUAUCCACCCCUGUGCACAUAUUGUAGAUGAGGAGUUGCAAGACUCCUGUGUCUAUGUCUCUUUUACAAACAACCAUUGAUUUAUUUGAAUGCCUUUGAAUAAUAUAUGAAACAACUUUCAACAAUGGAUCUCUUGGUUCUC